rnacentral:lncRNA from 1 species
CGAGCUAGACUAAAGGUAUCUGGUAAUUAAUCCUUGGCACCUCCCACCACACGCUCCUGAUUGGGCGCGUGAGACAAGGCUGUGUCUGCGCGCGCUCUUACCAGUCCGGGGAAUUCCAUUUCCUCUACCAACCACCGGCAUAAGCAUUCAGGGGCGUUGCUUUCCUGGCAGUGGCCCGCCCCAGUUCGAGCCGGUGCCUUACUGCGUCUCGCGAGAACGUACGCAUUUUGGGGGCGGAACCCCGUCAGGAAAAGCGCACAAAACUGCUCUUAAGUCAUUGCAGAGCUACCGCUUCGGUUAGCCAGCCACGAAGUUCUCGCGAGAGUCGUCUCCUCGAUACCAAGUGAGGAAACUGGGGGACGCUGUGGGGAGGGGCGUGGGGCUGGAUCGCGCAGCGGCUGCUUCCUUUACCUUCCUCCCAUGGUCUCCUUCCGGUUCUCGAUGCUUCUCUGAGCCUAAGGGUUUCCGCCACUCGUUUACCCUCCCCCCAGCUCAUGAUCCUCCUCCCUCCCCCGCCCUCCUGGUCCAAUCUCCGAUCUGUUUAGUAAGAAGGUGCUGUUCCGAGAAGGAGAAGGAAAAGGGCUUGACACGUAUUCACUCGGCCCCGGACGUGGGAAGCAAGCCGUCUGGCUUCGGCCUCACAUCGGUCCUGUGCUCGGGACGGCGGCGUUGGCGGACUGAUCUGCGGCGGUGAAGAGGCGCCUGUGUCUGGCAGAGCUGGUGUGAGACGAGACAAUCCUGCCCCGCCGCCGGGAUAAUCAAGAGUUUUGGCCGGACCUUUGAGCAUACACCGAGAGAGUGAGGAGCCAGACGACAAGCACACACUAUGGCGCUGAAACGGAUUAAUAAGGAACUUAGUGAUUUGGCCCGUGACCCUCCAGCACAAUGUUCUGCAGGUCCAGUUGGGGAUGAUAAGUUUUUUUUCUUUUUCUAGUGUUUCAUUGGCAAGCCACAAUUAUGGGACCUAAUGACAGCCCAUAUCAAGGCGGUGUAUUCUUUUUGACAAUUCA